AUAGUAGCCGACUGUAAGUCGGUCAAUUGAUUGUAAGUCAGUGUAAUGUAUUCAUGUGGUCGAUGUAGAGUCGGAGUCGGAGGUCGGUUGACUUAUCCUAACAGUUACCCCUCACUCUCAAGUCCAAGGUGGUCCAACAUAUAUAUUAUCACGUGGUCUGUCAUGUUGGACGAAGAGAGUCGUCACGUGUUACCUCGAGUCCCGACUCGACUGGUGAUCUUUAUGAUUUUUGGAGUACG
rnacentral:lncRNA from 1 species